rnacentral:lncRNA from 10 species
ACCCAGUUGGAGCUUCCCGGCUGCUUUGUUUACCUAAGCAAGCCUGGGCAAUGGUGGGCGCCCCUCCCCCAGCCUCGCAGCCGCCUUGCAGUUUGAUCUCAGACUGCUGUGCUAGCCAUCAGCGAGACUCCGUGGGCGUAGGACCCUCCGAGCCAGGUGUGGGAUAUAGUCUCGUGGUGCGCCGGUUUUUAAGCUGGUCUGAAAAGCGCAAUAUUCAGGUGGGAGUGACCCGAUUUUCCAGUCUUUUUCUGGAGGAAGAGCAAUCAAGUUUGUGGCCACAGAGAUGCUGGUGGGAUGGACAUGGUUCUGGAUCUGAGCUCUAAUCACAAUUGCAGCAGCUGCACCCAGAGGACCAGUGCUGGAUCCCCACUCUGGGGAAGGCAAUGGCUGUGCACCCUGGAGCUCAUGUUCACUGGGGAUCUGCAGGUGGAGCUGGAGUUGGGGUACAGCAAAGUUCUGCUGCCACAGAGGAAGGGGAACCUGGCCGUGUUCAUCGCGCCACAGGGGGACAGCCU